GAUGAACGCUGGCGGCGUGCCUAAUACAUGCAAGUCGAGCGAACAGACGAGGAGCUUGCUCCUCUGACGUUAGCGGCGGACGGGUGAGUAACACGUGGAUAACCUACCUAUAAGACUGGGAUAACUUCGGGAAACCGGAGCUAAUACCGGAUAAUAUAUUGAACCGCAUGGUUCAAUAGUGAAAGACGGUUUUGCUGUCACUUAUAGAUGGAUCCGCGCCGCAUUAGCUAGUUGGUAAGGUAACGGCUUACCAAGGCGACGAUGCGUAGCCGACCUGAGAGGGUGAUCGGCCAGACUGGAACUGAGACACGGUCCAGACUCCUACGGGAGGAAGCAGUAGGGAAUCUUACGCAAAGGGCGAAAGCCUGACGGAGCAACGCCGCGUGAGUGAUGAAGGUCUUCGGAUCGUAAAACUCUGUUAGUAGGGAAGAACAAAUGUGUAAGUACCUAUGCACGUCUUGACGGUACCUAAUCAGAAAGCCACGGCUAACUACGUG
rnacentral:rRNA from 1 species